CCACUUUCCGGCGUGUACGGAUGGACACGAGAUCCCUGAUGACAGCAGACCCUACAGACUUUCAGAUAAUUUGUGUAUUGUACGCUAAUCCUCGAGAUAUUUUUCGCUUAUAAGGCUGAAUUUACAGAAAAUUCCGCAAGUGAGUGUUUAUCCUUUUGAAUUGAACGGUAAGCAAGGAGUCAUCGUCAUCCUUCAAAGGUGAAAGCUUGGCGAGGAAAGGUGUUAGAUUAGGUUGAAUCGUAACCAAGGGGACAAGAACGAUGUAGAAGGUGAUCAAACUUAGUACCGUUUUCAAGAUUCCAGAGCUUCAAUUGAUAGCGUUGUAGUUACUUUUUAUAUAGUGAAGCAAGUAACAAUAUUGUUGAGGAAAAAUAUUAAAUUGUUAUGAUUUAGGCAAGUAAAGAAGUUGAAUGAUAUUUAGUAAAUGUCACGGGCCUCUUGCUGAAUGCAUGGGACCUAUAUUAUCAGAAUGCAUUGGGCAGUCGUCUAAUCUUGGAUCAUCAAUAGUACUUUAUCGGUUAUUAAGUAAGACUAGGAUAUCAAGUAUAAUUUGUGGGGUUCACCUGGUUGUGGAAAUAUAUUAAAGUGCACCAAUUUGUUUAUAUUCUAAUUUGAGUCUCUUUCCAGAUAUCUUGAUGAACGUUGUGGCUCAUUUGUGUAACGAUAAAACAAUUGAAAGAAUUGGGUGUGUUAAACUGCCUGCAGUAAUGGCCGGUGCCAGUGAUGUAAAGGAGGUAAACGCUGUAGCUUCUGAUGAGUUGAGAUUUAAUAGGUUACCAGUAAUAGAUUAAUUAAUAGGAGUUUUAAACCAGGCUCUAACUAUAUAAAUUAAUAGUCAGUUUGUAUAUUUCCUUACUUAUUAUAUUAUAUUAGUGCCUCGAUAUUAAUAUGUAUACAAUAGUAUAUUUGUUUAGGCGGAACUAUAAAUGAGAGUUUAAUCUGUAACUUAAUUUGUUAAGGAUUAUUCACAUUUAAUUUAAUGCAGUUCUAUCG